rnacentral:rRNA from 1 species
UACGUAGGGGGCAAGCGUUGUCCGGAAUCAUUGGGCGUAAAGCGCGUGUAGGCGGCUUGGUACGUCCGCUCUGAAAGCCCGGGGCUCAACCCCGGGAGGCGGGUGGAUACUGUCAAGCUCGAGUCCGGAAGAGGCGAGUGGAAUUCCUGGUGUAGCGGUGAAAUGCGCAGAUAUCAGGAGGAACACCGGUGGCGAAGGCGGGUCUCUGGGCCGAUACUGACGCUGAGGAGCGAAAGCGUGGGGAGCGAACAGG